GAUGAACGCUGGCGGCGUGCCUAAUACAUGCAAGUCGAGCGAACAGACGAGGAGCUUGCUCCUCUGACGUUAGCGGCGGACGGGUGAGUAACACGUGGAUAACCUACCUAUAAGACUGGGAUAACUUCGGGAAACCGGAGCUAAUACCGGAUAAUAUAUUUAACCGCAUGGUUCAAUAGUGAAAGACGGUUUUGCUGUCACUUAUAGAUGGAUCCGCGCCGCAUUAGCUAGUUGGUAAGGUAACGGCUUACCAAGGUAACGAUGCGUAGCCGACCUGAGAGGGUGAUCGGCCACACUGGAGCUGAGACACGGUCCAGAAUCGUACGGGAGGCAGCAGUAGGGAAUCUUCCGCAAUGGGCGAAAGCCUGAAGGAGCAACGCCGGGUGAGUGAUGAAGGGCUUCGGAUCGUAAAACUCUGUUAUUAGGGAAGAACAAAUGUGUAAGUAACUAGGAACGUCUUGACGGUACCUAAACAGAAAGCAACGGCUAACUACGU
rnacentral:rRNA from 1 species